UACGGAGGGUGCAAGCGUUAUCCGGAUUCACUGGGUUUAAAGGGUGCGCAGGCGGCGUGGCAAGUCAGAUGUGAAAACCCGGGGCCCAACCCCGGGAGUGCAUUUGAAACUGCCAUGCUGGAGUGCCGGAGAGGUAAGCGGAAUUCCUAGUGUAGCGGUGAAAUGCGUAGAUAUUAGGAGGAACACCAGUGGCGGAGGCGGCUUACUGGACGGUAACUGACGCUGAGGCUCGAAAGCGUGGGGAGCAAACAGG
rnacentral:rRNA from 1 species